CGCCCGAUCUCGUCCGAUCUCGGAAGCUAAGCAGGGUCGGGCCUGGUUAGUACUUGGAUGGGAGACCUCCUGGGAAUACCGGGUGCUGUAGGCU
rnacentral:rRNA from 1 species